rnacentral:rRNA from 1 species
UACGGAGGGGGCGAGCGUUAUUCGGAAUUAUUGGGCGUAAAGAGCUCGUAGGCGGUGUGUCACGUCGGCCGUGAAAACCUGCAGCUUAACUGUGGGCGUGCGGUCGAUACGGGCAUCACUGGAGUUCGGCAGGGGAGACUGGAAUUCCUGGUGUAGCGGUGAAAUGCGCAGAUAUCAGGAGGAACACCGGUGGCGAAGGCGGGUCUCUGGGCCGAUACUGACGCUGAGGAGCGAAAGCGUGGGGAGCAAACAGG